CCUGUCUGCCCCUCAUGGACUCAGGAAAUGCUCACACCUAUGGGCCACGACAAGACUAGAUUAGAUGGUCAAUCAUUCCCACAAAGUGUAGAAGGGCUGUACAUCAUCUGAACCUCCAACAACAUCAGAGGAAAUUCGCCUAGUCAACAAGUGGCUUUCCUGCUUGAGGACAGCAUACCUGCCAUUACUCGUAAAGUGGUGGGCUUUUGUGCAGCAGCUCGAAGAGUGCGCCAGUUUUUAAUUAACAGUCCUAGUGCUGCUCUAUAACCUUUCAGUUAUAAUAUUGUUGAUGGGUUAGACUGUUGACUUGUUUUUUGUUUGUUUGUUUGUUUUAAAAUAAUUUAUAUUUUAAUUGU